GAUCAUGGUUCAGGAUGAACGCUGGCGGCGUGCUUAACACAUGCAAGUCGAACGAGAGAUGAGGAGCUUGCUCUUCAAAUCGAGUGGCGAACGGGUGAGUAACGCGUGAGGAACCUGCCUCAAAGAGGGGGACAACAGUUGGAAACGACUGCUAAUACCGCAUAAGCCCACGACUCGGCAUCGAGCAGGGGAAAAGGAGCAAUCCGCUUUGAGAUGGCCUCGCGUCCGAUUAG
rnacentral:rRNA from 1 species